AUGGCGGCACCCAACCGGAGGGGUGGCAGCGGCCGGAAGAAGAUCGUAAUCCGCCGGAUCGAGCAAGAGGAUGCCCGGCAAGUCACCUACGCCAAGCGCCGGGUGGGGCUCUUCAACAAGGCCAGCGAGCUGGCUGUGCUCACGGGCGCCCAGGUGGCCGCCCUCGCCUUCUCUCCCGGCGGCAAGGUAUUCUCCUUCGGCCACCCCUCCGUCGACUCCGUCGUAGAACGCUUCCUGCCGGGGGAACGUCUGGGUGCUUGCCCGAGGGCCAAUGGCCGUUUCCUGGCGGCGGAGGGCGCGGUGGAGGGCGCUGCCGACGAAGACAACGUGAACGAGCUGGCCCAGCAGCUCGCCGAGAUGCGCGCGGAGCUGAUGGAGGUGAAGAAGCAGAGGAAGCGCAUCGACAAGGCCAUGGCUAAGGAGCGCGCCGCGGGGGACCAGAUUGCGGCGUGGGUCGACCCGAACGUGCGCGACAUGGGGGACGAGGACAUGGCGGCCUUCUUUGCCAUGCUUCUCAAGGUAAAGACCGACGUCUCCGACCGUGCCAACCAGGUUCUAUUGGACUUCAGCCGCAAGGUUGAAAUCUCCCCGCCGUCCCCGGCCCAGAUCUUUGGCGGCAGCAUCUUUGAGUUCGGUAGCAGCAGCGGCAGCGCCCACGCCGGGAUGGAGUUCCAGUUUCUGGUGCCUCCACCGCAGGGGCAGGGGUUCGAGGCCGGGAUGGAUAUGCAGCAGAUGGUGAUGGCGCCGCUGCCUCCGCCUCUGGGGUUCCCCUCCGGGAUAGAUAUGCAACAGCAGAUGGUGCUGGACAUGCCUCCGGCUCAGGUGGUCGCCGCCGGCAUGGAUAUGCAACAGCAGAUGGCGAUGGAGAUGCAUCCGGCUCAGGUUGUCGCCGCUGGAGUGGAUAUGCAGGAGAUGCCUCCAGCUCAGGUGGUUGCCGCCGGGAUGGAUAUGCAGGAGAUGCCUCCGCCGCCGGGGUUCGUUGCCGGGAUGGAUAUUGAUAUGGAGCAGAUGCAAAUCAUGAUCGGUCAGCCGCCGUCGUUCGAGGCAGGGAUGGAGACAGAGUUACAUCAAUGGCUUAUGGCGAUGCCGCCACCGGAGUUCCCUGCCGGGUUGGAGAUGGCGCAGCAGGUGCUUGAGCCCAACGCCGAAGAAGAGAAGAUCUAA
rnacentral:rRNA from 1 species